ensembl:snRNA U6 U6 spliceosomal RNA
GUGCUCGCUUUGGCAGCACAUAUACUAAAGUUGGAACGGUACAGAGAAGAUUAGCAUGGCCCCUGCACAAGGAUGACACGUAAAUUCGUGAAGUGUUCCAAAUUUUU